rnacentral:rRNA from 1 species
UUAUAAGAGACAGCAGCAGCCGCGGGAAUACAGAGGGUGCGAGCGUUAAUCGGAUUUACUGGGCGUAAAGCGUGCGUAGGCGGCUUCUUAAGUCGGAUGUGAAAUCCCUGAGCUUAACUUAGGAAUUGCAUUCGAUACUGGGAAGCUAGAGUAUGGGAGAGGAUGGUAGAAUUCCAGGUGUAGCGGUGAAAUGCGUAGAGAUCUGGAGGAAUACCGAUGGCGAAGGCAGCCAUCUGGCCUAAUACUGACGCUGAGGUACGAAAGCAUGGGGAGCAAACAGGAUUAGAUACCCCCGUAGUCCCUGUCUCUUAUAA